GCCCGGUUAGCUCAAUCGGUAGAGCGUGAGACUCUUAAUCUCAAGGUUGCGGGUAAGUUUAGAUAACUUAAAUGUCAAGAAAUUCAGUAAAUACUGACAAGCAACUUCAAACAGGUUCGACCCCCGCAUCGGGCU